UGCGAAUGGCUCAUUAAAUCAGUUAUCGUUUAUUUGAUAGUACCUUACUACUUGGAUAACCGUGGUAAUUCUAGAGCUAAUACAUGCUAAAAACCCCGACUUCGGGAGGGGUGUAUUUAUUAGAUAAAAAACCAAUGCCCUUCGGGGCUCUUUGGUGAUUCAUGAUAACUUAACGGAUCGCAUGGCCUUGCGCCGGCGACGGUUCAUUCAAAUUUCUGCCCUAUCAACUUUCGAUGGUAAGGUAUUGGCUUACCAUGGUUUCAACGGGUAACGGGGAAUUAGGGUUCGAUUCCGGAGAGGGAGCCUGAGAAACGGCUACCACAUCCAAGGAAGGCAGCAGGCGCGCAAAUUACCCAAUCCCGACUCGGGGAGGUAGUGACAAUAAAUACUGAUACAGGGCUCUUUUGGGUCUUGUAAUCGGAAUGAGUACAAUUUAAACCCCUUAACGAGGAACAAUUGGAGGGCAAGUCUGGUGCCAGCAGCCGCGGUAAUUCCAGCUCCAAUAGCGUAUAUUAAAGUUGUUGCAGUUAAAAAGCUCGUAGUUGAACCUUGGGCCUGGCUGGCCGGUCCGCCUCACCGCGUGUACUGGUCCGGCCGGGCCUUUCCUUCUGGAGAGCCGCAUGCCCUUCACUGGGUGUGUUGGGGAACCAGGACUUUUACUUUGAAAAAAUUAGAGUGUUCAAAGCAGGCCUUUGCUCGAAUACGUUAGCAUGGAAUAAUAGAAUAGGACGUGCGGUCCUAUUUUGUUGGUUUCUAGGACCGCCGUAAUGAUUAAUAGGGAUAGUCGGGGGCAUCAGUAUUCAAUUGUCAGAGGUGAAAUUCUUGGAUUUAUUGAAGACUAACUACUGCGAAAGCAUUUGCCAAGGAUGUUUUCAUUAAUCAGUGAACGAAAGUUAGGGGAUCGAAGACGAUCAGA
rnacentral:rRNA from 1 species